GACGAACGCUGGCGGCGUGCUUAACACAUGCAAGUCGAACGGAAAGGUCCUGCCAGUGUGGGGUGCUCGAGUGGCGAACGGGUGAGUAACACGUGAGUAACCUGCCCCUGACUUUGGGAUAACUUCAGGAAAGUGGGGCUAAUACCGGAUAGGAGCUCCUGCUGCAGGGAGGGGGUGGGAAAGUUUCGGCGGUUGGGUAUGGACUCGCGGCUUAUCAGCUUGUUGGUGGGGUAGUGGCUUACCAAGGCUUUGACGGGUAGCCGGCCUGAGAGGGUGACCGGCCACGUUGGGACUGAGAUGCGGCCCAGACUCCUACGGGAGGCAGCAGUGGGGAAUAUUGCACUAUGGGCGGAAGCCUGAUGCAGCGACGCCGCGUGCGGGAUGACGGCCUUCGGGUUGUAACCCGCUUUCGCCUGUGGCGAAGCGUGAGUGACGGUAAUGGGUAAAGAAGCACCGGCUAACUACGUG
rnacentral:rRNA from 1 species